UUCUGAAACAACCACAGCUGGGUCGCACUGGGUAGCACUGUGUAGUCUUUAAGCCUCGAGGGGGCGCUCUAAACUUCAGCUCCAAGAACGAGGCAAGGGCCAUCUAGCCAGGUCUUGCCUUUUGGGUAUAAACAAACACAGGAGAUUUUUGGAGAGAACACGGAAGACUGCUUCUCCAUCUGGUGGCUCAGCUGGCCACCGCUUAAUUCCACUGUGCCCACGGGGGCUGUGCAGAGGGCCACGAGAAAUGUCCAAAGGGCACCUAGCCCUGACGUGGAGGGCAACGGAAGACCAAAGGAUGUGUAGGAGUCAGCUAUGCAACUGUCACAGAUGGCUAUUCCAGCCAGAACGACACGUGCUGAGGCUUGAGAUAUCCAAACACCUAAGAAGUGAGCCCAAGAGAUGAUUGAAACUUUUGAUCCGGGAAAUAACUCACACAUUUGUUUUGCUUUGCUCUAAUCUUCAGAGGUGUGUAUCAUGUUGCCAAGUCCCAGGUUUUUAAAAAACAGAUUUUUCCUUUGGGCUUCCCCCCUCCCACCUUGCAUCGCGGUAAUAUUUUCUCCUAUCUCUCAUCUUCUAAAAAAAAGUAGGUGUAACAGUCCAAUCAGCCUUUACCAACUUUUCUGCAAGAACAAGGCAGAAAAUACGAAGAUAUACAUCAAGAAUUGUUAUUAUUGUUUAUGUAGUAGUGAUAUAUGACUCCCCUGGGCUUUGUGUUUUACAUGGCCACUUUGAAAACACAGGAUGCUGUUCAGGCACAAGCGAUUUGUUUCUGAGUCCUGUGCUUGGAUAUUUCUAAUAAAUAUAUUCUGCCUCUGAUUUUAUGAUAUCAACAAGAUACCCAUGCAAUAAAAUAUUUUCAGAUUC